rnacentral:tRNA from 1 species
AGGUGUAGCGCAGCCCGGUAGCGCGCCUGCUUUGGGAGCAGGAUGUCGCAGGUUCGAAUCCUGUCACCU